rnacentral:rRNA from 1 species
CACGUAGGGGGCGAGCGUUGUCCGGAUUUAUUGGGCGUAAAGAGCUCGUAGGCGGCUUUGUCAGUCGGGUGUGAAACCUCCAGGCUCAACCUGGAGCCGCCACCCGAUACUGCAAUAGCUAGAGUCCGGUAGGGGAGCAUGGAACUCCUGGUGUAGCGGUGAAAUGCGCAGAUAUCAGGAAGAACACCAGUGGCGAAGGCGGUGCUCUGGGCCGGAACUGACGCUGAGGAGCGAAAGCGUGGGGGAGCAAACAGG